GACGGACCACCCGAACGUUAUUCGGAAUCACUGGGCUUAAAGGGUGCGUAGGCGGCGUAGUAAGUCGGGUGUGAAAUCCCCCAGCUUAACUGGGGAAUUGCGCCCGAAACUGUUGCGCUCGAGGGAGACAGAGGUGAGCGGAACUGAUGGUGGAGCGGUGAAAUGCGUUGAUAUCAUCAGGAACACCGGUGGCGAAAGCGGCUCACUGGGUCUCUUCUGACGCUCAGGCACGAAAGCUAGGGGAGCAAACGGG
rnacentral:rRNA from 1 species